UUUGCCAAGUACAUUUGCAUGUAAAUUAAUUUUACUUGGUGAAAUGGUCCUGCCCCAUUAAACAGGAUAUACACACAAACGAUAAACAGGAUACACAGACAGACGAUAAACAGGAUCUAUAGACAGACGAUAAACAGGAUAUACAGACAAUAAACAGGAUGUACAGUCAGACGAUAAACAGGAUAUACACAAACGAUAAACAGGAUACACAGUCAGACGAUAAACGGGAUAUACACAAAUGAUAAACAGGCUAUACAGACGAUAAACAGGAUAUACAGUAUGUAGAAAAGGCCCAUGGAGUUGGUGGAAUAAUCCUUUAAUUAAUGGCCACUUACUCAGCUGGGCCAGAGCGCCUUUAAUUAGGUCAGGUGGCAAUGACCGACAGAUCUCAUCCACAUAAAAGGAGGAAAACGGCAUCGCCUGAUCUCGCUGCUUUCUCUUCCUUAACUCCGUCUGCUCGAAGUUCUGUGCGUCCAUGAAUCCACCCCCAGGACCAUGCCUCAGGACUACCUGGCCUGAUGACUCCUUGCUGUCCCCAGUCCACCUGGUCGUGCUGCUGCUCCAGUCUCAACUGUUCUGUCUGCGGCUAUGAAACCCUGACCUGUUCACCAGACGUGCUACCUGUCCCAGACCUACUGUUUUCAACUCCAGACAGCAGGAGCGGUAGAGAUACUCUUAAUGAUCGGCUAUGAAAAGCCAACUGACGUUUACUCCUGAGGUAGUGACCUGUUGCACCCUCGACAACCACUGUGAUUAUUAUUAUCUGACUCUGCUGGUCAUCUAUGAACAUUUGAACAUCUUGGCCAUGUUCUGUUAUAAUCUCCACCUGGCCACCCCUCACAGCCUGUUUUCUCUCUAGGUUUCUUCCUAGGUUCUGGGAGUUUUUCCUAGCCACUACUUCUUAACCUGCAUUGCUUGCUUUUCAGUGUUUUAGGCUGGGAUUCUGUGCAGCACUUUAAUAUCAGCCGAUGUAAGGGCUUUAUAAAUACAUUUGAUUGAUUGCUGACAGCAAAUUAAGUACUAAAAUCAUUGCAUAAGCAAGAGAAAAAAAUUAACAUACUGGGUGUACUCACUAAAGUAGCUGACGGUGAAGUAGCUAACAGGGAUUGUGUUAUUGUCUGGACAUGUCUGGGUCCAGCCAGAUGUACAAUCUCAUAGAAAAACACACAGUACACAUAUUUAAUCCCCCAAGUGUCAAUUAACUGGAUAAUUGAGUUUUCAUACAAAACCUUGAGAAAUCUAGAAUGCUACAUAAAAAAAACAUUGUUAAACCCUAUUGUCUGUUUGACAUAAUUCCUAUUACAUGCAUUUUGUAUUGGUGUAAAAAUAACUACUCUAAAACAAAUUCAUCAGAUUGUGCUCUUGUUGAUUUAUAAAUAUUGUCCUCUACAAGGAGACAACAAAUAUGACAUACAAAUAAAUAACCUAUUUACACUA